CGUACACUCCUACGGGAGGCAGCAGUGGGGAAUAUUGCACAAUGGGCGCAAGCCUGAUGCAGCCAUGCCGCGUGUAUGAAGAAGGCCUUCGGGUUGUAAAGUACUUUCAGCGGGGAGGAAGGCAAUACGGUUAAUAACCGUGUUGAUUGACGUUACCCGCAGAAGAAGCACCGGCUAACUCCGUGCCAGCAGCCGCGGUAAUACGGAGGGUGCAAGCGUUAAUCGGAAUUACUGGGCGUAAAGCGCACGCAGGCGGUCUGUCAAGUCGGAUGUGAAAUCCCCGGGCUCAACCUGGGAACUGCAUUCGAAACUGGCAGGCUUGAGUCUUGUAGAGGGGGGUAGAAUUCCAGGUGUAGCGGUGAAAUGCGUAGAGAUCUGGAGGAAUACCGGUGGCGAAGGCGGCCCCCUGGACAAAGACUGACGCUCAGGUGCGAAAGCGUGGGGAGCAAACAGGAUUAGAAACCCCUGUAGUCCCAUGA
rnacentral:rRNA from 1 species